rnacentral:tRNA from 1 species
CCUUCGAUAGCUCAGUUGGUAGAGCGGUGGACUGUAGAAAGUUUGGAGGGUUUGCGAUCAAGUUUCAAAUGAUCAAAACCUACCGAUCGAAGUGGAAAUCCAUAGGUCACUGGUUCAAAUCCGGUUCGAAGGA